CUUGCUUCAACAACACAUCAUAAAAUUGGAAUGACACUGAGAUUAACAUGGCCUCUGUGCAAAGAUGACGCAAUGCAAAUUCAGGAAGCAUCCAUAUUUUU
rnacentral:snRNA from 1 species